rnacentral:rRNA from 1 species
AAACUCAAAGGAAUUGACGGGGGAGCACCACAACGGGUGGAGCUUGCGGUUUAAUUGGAUUCAACGCCGGAAAUCUUACCGGGACCGACAGCAAUAUGAUGGCCAGGCUGAAGACUUUUGCCGGAUUAGCUGAGAGGUGGUGCAUGGCCGUCGUCAGUUCGUACUGUGAAGCAUCCUGUUAAGUCAGGCAACGAGCGAGACCCACGCCCACAGUUGCCAGCGUACUCUCCGGAGUGACGGGUACACUGUGGGACCGCCGCUGCUAAAGCGGAGGAAGGAAUGGGCAACGGUAGGUCAGUAUGCCCCGAACAUCCCGGGCUACACGCGAGCUACAAUGGUUGGUACAAUGGGUAUCUACCCCGAAAGGGGACGGGAAUCUCCUAAAACCAAUCUUAGUUCGGAUUGAGGGCUGCAACUCGCCCUCAUGAAGCUGGAAUCCGUAGUAAUCGCGUUUCAACAGAACGCGGUGAAUACGUCCCUGCUCCUU